GAAAAAGUCGGAACAGAAUCUAUUGUAGCUAUGUUGCAGACGGGCGAAGGAACUCGUUACAGAGAUUGCAGAAUGUAAUAUUCUUUACGGAUCAUCACACGAACACGGAAUAAAUAUGGAUACUAUAGCGCAACAUCGCGGAUACUACAAUUGGUGAAAAGGCCAAACAUUUCCCACACUAUCUGGCAACUUGGGAUUCAGAAGAAUUAUCCAAACUGAAUGCUAAGAGAGACCCAGCAUUUAUUGACCGCCAAGUGAAGACAAAUAAAGUCAAACGUUACAGCUAGGAAGACGAGAAGACGAGGAGGCUGGCUGGUGUGUUGAUCCAUAUGUCUGGGAGUUUCUCGCUGGAUUAUUGCCAGCCACUGUCUCUAUUGGCCGCUGUUAUCUGCCCCGUGCCACUUCCUGCUUCCUGCCCCCGUGCCACUUCCUGCUUCCUGCCCCCGUGCCACUUCCUGCAUCCUCUCCCGUGCCACUUCCUGCUCCCUG
ensembl:lncRNA